CUUUCGCUCUUGCUUUUUAUUGCCUUUUCGUGUCUUUCUGUUUCUCUCCUACCUUCUUCUUCGGGUUUUUUGUGUUUUCUCCCCUUUGCUCAAUUUCGUCUCCUCCGCUUCCUCGCGGCUUUCUCUCCUUCUGUGAAACUCUUCUGCACUCUCCUCUCUUACUAACUUUCCUCCCCUCUCUCCAAGCUCACGGCCACCUCUGCUCUUCUUCCCAGCCUCACUUGCCCUCUUCCGGGCCUGUGUUUACCUGCGUGCCCAUCUCCAAAGCUGGGCCCCCAGGCUGGUGAGGGGACAGGCUUUGGGCGGGAUGCUAGCUCUUCCUCUCUGCCCCAGAGCCGCAGCCAGAAGCCUGGAGCCCACCCUACCAAGAGCUUCCUCCACCUACUCUUCACGCGGGCCCCAUAGCAGCUGAGGCAGGGGGUCUGGCGGGCGGGCCAGUGUAGACACGGCCUAGAGGCUCACCUUCCAUGUCUCUGGUGACCGUGCUGAAGUGCAUCCCGGUCGGGGACCCUGGCAGCCAGCGAAGCUUCACCCGGUCGGAGGACCCCGAGCCCUGGUGGGCGGUGCGCUCCGCUGCCUGGGCUGCAACGAGAGAGGCGAUGCUGAACGCACUGGCCCGGGGAGACAGCGGGCUCCGCGCGUCCAUAGGCGCCCGGCGGCCUGGCCGGCGCCGCCUUCCACUGCGUGUGCCCAGCCUCACCGCGCCCAGCCCAGCCCACGAAGCCCGGGGGCGGGGGCCUGUGGUGCCACUCACAGCCGGGGGCCCUUGGCCCAGAGGAUUAUGGCGUCAUGGGCCCCCCACUUGGGGUUGGUAGCAGCCUAGGGGCCCAAACGGGUGGAGCACCCUGGAAGUACAGGGCCCUCCUGCUUUCCAAGCUCCCUGCCCCUUUCGACCGUUCCCAGGGACCUCCAUGACCAACGCCCCUUGAACAUCCCGUUGCUCCUGCAAAGGCACGGCUUUCCUCUGUACAGCGAAGCCACCAUCAGCUUCUACAGCCCCCCGAGGAGAGGUGUCUAUACCAGCAGCACCCAGCCCUAGCCCGAGGUGGCAGGGCACCCAUGAAGCACCCAGUGGCUGCCGGGGCCCAGCCCUGCCCCUGCCCUUGGCCCCUCCCGCCUCCACCUCCUCCCUGGCUGCCCCUGCACCUGGGUGAGGAGAGGGCAGCUUGGGCUCUCACACCGGCCACUGGCAGGAGCCCCAGGGCCACAGCGUCCUCUGUUCCUCGGCGCAACAGGAUAGGACCCAACCCAGUAAAUGCCCAACAGCCCCCUGAAGUUGGCUCACUAUCGUCGCUGGAGACCCCAGCGGAGGGACGCUGCCCAGGCUGCGCAGCCCAGGAGCCCAAGCGUCACGCGCACUUGCGCGCACCGCCCGCCUCUGGCCAGGACGCUUAUACAUCCGGAGGGUGGGCAGUGCCCGCUCCUCCGACCUCCCUGCGCACCGGCCGGGUGCAGGGAGGGCCGGGGGCGGGGCCUGGCCAGCCGAGGGAGCCGAGGACACGGGGACAUGUUGGAGAACUUCAGGCCACUGGAUCUGAUGCUGCCCCUCGGCACCCAGCAGCCAGCCUGCCUUCCGGGAGAAGCUCUGUGGCGCGACCAGGCUGGGCAGAGUGAGGCCAAGGCCCGCCCCUCAGCCUGGUUUCUAGGCCCAGGCAUCCCAUACGCCAAGGCCUGACUUGGCCUGUGCGUUCCCCCACCUACUGUAUCCGGGGUCUCCUCUGACCAGUUCAGCGCACCCAUGGCUUUCCUGUCCAGGGUCUCUCCAGCUGGGUGUCAACCCUGGAAUCUCUGUGCCUUGCUGGAGCUAGUGCUGGUGGUCAGGGCCACGGUUUGCAAGGCCUGUCUGUAUACAACCUCAUCAAGUGUAGCCUUCACUUUCGUGUGCUUGGGAUGCAAGUGAGAGGCAGGCAGCCUCUCCCAGAUUUUUUAGGAUCUCAGGGCCUCAGACCCUGGGCUGCAGAGGAUGCUGGCUGGGAACUGGGAAGGCCUGGUAACUGGGGCUGGGGGACUGGGUGCCAGUAGGGAGGCUGGCCCUGGGACUGAGGUCCAGGAAUGCAUGUGAGUCCAGGGCCACAGCGGGUGAGUAUACGAAUAGUGCUGCCUGUCUGGGAUGUGGUGUGUGUCACUGCCUGUAUGGGGUGCCCCAGGUCCUGCCCCUCGCAGCCCCUGCCACCUGCAGCUGGAGCUUUGUGGGCCAUGUCAGAAAAGGGAAGCUGUCCCCAGUGCAUUUCUCUUGCCCUGAGUAGUCAUUCUGGGCCAUGACAGUGACAAUGACUUGUGUCUCUCAGUGUCACUGAGGGGACCCAGGGACAGGUCCAGUGAGGAGUGCUGUGUGGGGAUGGACCAGUUGGUUCCAGGCCCCUUUCCCUCUUCUCUGAGCAGGACCAGUCAUUGCCCCUAGGAGCCGCUCCUGCGGGAAGCGACAGUCUUGCUGGAGGCAGGUGGGAAGGAUGCUGGUGGCCACGGAUUUGGUAGUGUUGCAGGAGACAUGCCUAUGUUGGCGGUCUGCACCCAGAGAGGCCUGGGUUGGUCGGUGGGGGUAUGGGGGUGGGACUCCUGCAUGUGCCCCAGCCUGUGGGUGUGCCCAAGCUUGUGUGCUGUGCACAUCUGCACACACCUCAGGGCAGUGGCCAGAUGUGGGGCCUGUGGGUGAGGCGAACACUGAGGACGGAGAAGUGAAAGUGAAAAACCCUGGGGCCUCCUGGAGACUCUGGGUCAGCCCCUCAAGGAUCGGUCUAGAGGUCCCCAGACCUCUGCGCCUGAGGUAUGUAGGGAGGAGCAGAGUCCUUCCAGCCCCCAUUAACCCCUUAGUGCCUGAGCAGGACCUGAAGGCAGGCGGGGGCGGCCAGCGCCACACAGCAGAGAAGAGGCCGUCAGGGUGGAGAAAACCCUGGUCAACCAGAAGGGCGACGGGAAGAGACACCGCUGCUCAACGCUGGGACCCUCGGGAGCCCUCGGCUAAAGGGGCCCGGAAGCCCUCGAAGCGCGAGGCCGUCUGAGCCUCCAGCCGGAGCCGCCGCCUCCACUGCCCAGCGAGAUAGGGCUCCUCCGAUACUCCUUCCCGCCUAGAGCACCACCCCGCUGCGCUCCACGGCCCCGCCACCCAUCCUCCCUCUUCACCUGCCACCACCCCACCCGCCGUGCCCUCCCGCAGCCCGGAGGGAGAGCACCGGUCGGGUGGCCCUAGCCCCGCACAUGCGGGUUUCGCACGCGAACGCAGCGCCUCGGCACGGCCCGCGGCAAGUGUUCCACCCUCACCUGGCCCGGCCGCGGUUCCCUUCCUCCUCGCUCCCCCUGCCGGCCGCACCUCCACUGCCGCGCGAUAGGAGGCCUGACUGGGAGCUCCCUUGCGUGGAUCAGGAAGGAUGGACCGCCUGGAAUUGCUUACAGCGCCUGCUUGGACACCGCCUCGGGGGUCUCGAGGAAAGCCCACCGCCAGGAGCUGCCCUCACCAUCCUCCCUGCCGCCAUCAGUCGCUCCGCCCCAGGGCCCCAGAGAAGGGCAGGCAGCUGGGGGCCCAAACUUCGCCGGAGCCGGGACAGGCCCGCGCGCCCAGAGGCUCUGCCCUCUCCUCCCGGCUCCACUCCCACCUCUUGACUCCCAGCCCUCUGCCACAGGCGCCAACCCAGCAGCCUUGGCGCUCCCCAAUCGUCCCUCUAUCCCACGAAAGUGCUUGGCCCACAACACUGGCAAACGCGACACUGCGGGUGACCCUAGUGGGCGUGGACGAGCCAAGACCCCAAACCUGGGAGGCAGGCUGGUGGGGCCACAUGCCAGGGUUGCCCACGGGGCCGCUGACCUGUGGCCGCAGAUCCUUAGUCACAUCCCAGCCUCGGAGCCGCGGAAUGGGGAGAAGAACCUCAGGCAGGGAUAGCAGGGGAGGAGCAGGAGCAGGAGCGGGAGCAGGCACGGGCUCGGCGGUCUGCAUCAAAACCGGGGUCGGACAUUCAGUCCUGCAUGCGGAGGCACUGGCAGGAGUGCUCUCUGCCCCAGUGCAUAGGCAGUGGGCUUACAGCCCCUGGGGAGGGUGCUGAGUUAGAACUGGGGGGCUGUGGGGACUCCUGGAGUGGAGUGGCCCAAGCCAGAGCCAGAAUGGGGGCCAGGUCUGCCUCCAGGGAGUCCAGGGAGGGCUGGAGACAGAAGCAGUUUCCUACCCUGCCUGCCAGGGCAGGGCACGUUUGGGUCCACUGCCAGAUCUCCUGUGCCACCGCAGACACUGCCUACGAUGAGGAAGGAGGCUGUUCCUGUUACCCAGCCUGGGGUCUCCAUGGGAGUCCUCCCCAACCUGUGGCUUAGGUGGUCCCACUGCUCCUUGACCUUGCCCUCCCUGGGCUCCUCUCCUCCCUAGUGCCCGCCUCCUGACACGGAAGUCCCCACCAAGCCCGUCCCCACCAAGCCCAUCCCCACGUGUCCUCGGCAUUGGGCCUUUACUCAAACUGCUAGGGUGGUGGGUUACUGUGGCUGGUUCCAAGCUCUGCGGGGUGUGCCAGACAGCAGACAGGAACCCUGCCCAGGAGCUCCAGGCCUGCAGCCAGGUUCCCAGGAAGGGGCCCAGGGCUUGGAGGCGGUGUCCCUGUGAGCCUGGUCAGGCAGCUGACCACAUAGCUGGCAAAGGCCUGGGAGUUAGACACAGCCUGGUGUGCACACCUUGUGGCUGGGAGGACACUGGACAGGAUGAUAGGAGAUGUGGCCCUCUCACCCCGCAAAGGGCAUUCCCUGGGACUCUUCCUAGGCCCCAACGCCACCUGCUCCCUGGUCCCAGAGCAGGGUCUGAUCCACUUCAGAGUCCUAGUGCCUGGACCCUAGGGGACAAAUGACUACAGGAUGGACAAAGAGAACAGCGAGACCCUAAGAGAGGCAGACAUAGGAGGGGGUAACGGGUGGAGAGAAGACUGGACAGGGAGGCACACAGCCCUGUGACACUAGCCUCCUCCCAGCUGGGAGGGGACCGGUCAGGGUCUGCACAGCCAGCCGCAUACAGCUGACCCCCAACCUCCUGUCACCAGGCCUAGCUGUCCCCCUGCAAUUAUGGGUGCAGUGUUCUGGGCCAAGUUCCCAGGAGGACAGAUGUGGGGAGAUGAUGAGAGGGAUGGCUGGGCCGGAUGGGUGAUGGCACCCUCUGUCCCCCGACCUCACCAGGCACCAGGACUCCCUGCAGACUGGAAGUUCCCACAACUCCAGAACAAACAAACAAACAGACAGACUGAUGGACAGCCCAGCCCUGGACCCCUCUCCAAUUUCUGAGGCUGUUGAUUUAGCUGCCCACUUGGUGGGAGGACCCAGCCACAUGGGGAGCUGGCUGUCCAUCUGUCUGUCCAUCUCCUGGCCACACUAGCCCCUCCACCCCAGGUGCAGCUAGGCAGAGGUGAGGUUCUGAGACCCUGGAUGACCUGUAUGCAGGCUGCUGAGGUGGCUGGAUCUCAGCCUGGGGGGCUAGCUGAGGAACCAGUCCCUGCUAGCCCCCUUCCCCUCUGUGGCCCCAGCAGGGGGAGCCACACUUGCCAGGGGAAGGGACUUGUCCCAAAAGACCCUGGAGGAGUGUUGGCUGAGGGUGAGUGGCCAGAAGAUGGACACGUGCAGACACGCCCCUCCAGUUCCUCUGGGCAGCAAGGAACCCUGACUGGACAAUAGCUCCCACUUGCCCAUGUUCAAGGACCCACACCACCACGUGCACACACACUCACGAGCAUGGGCAUGAGUGCAUGUGUGUGUUCACACCAUGUUCCUAUUCAGGCACACAUACAUGGGAGUGUGGGCACAUAUGCCUACACAUGUGAGCAUAUCAAUAUUUGACCGUGGGUACAUGUGUCCACAUGCACACAACGGACACACAGACGUGAGCAUGGGCACACACAGGCACACUGCAUGCAGACACAUGGACUGGGCCCAGACGCACACACGCACACUGUAUGCCUGCAGACACGUGAGCAUGGGCACUCUCCAUGUACACAAACGUGAGCAGGGGCAUGCAUGCACCUCUGUACAUACACAGACACACGUGAGCAUGGACACACACAUGCAUAUAGCAAACACCAACACAGACACCAGUGUGGGAGAGUGUGCACGCACCGGCAUGUGUAGCAGACAUACAUACAGGCACACACAUGUGCAGGCUUGUCACUCACAGUGACCGCUGUAACCCUUCUGUAAUAAUGAUGAUGCUCACAUGCGCCUUGGGUUGACUUGAGUUGGGCGAAGCACUGUGGAAGCUUGCUGCUGCGUGACGAAGGAGGAGUGCAAUAUUUCAGGCCUCUCCUGCUGGGUCGUUCGUGAAGGGGAUGUACUCGAUGAUGGUGUCUGACAGGCCAGGCUGCUUCCUUGGACAUUGAUACUGGAAGAGACUCUCAAGACAAGAUCGCUCUACAGGGAACCUUCUGGGUGGAACUCCCUGGGAGGCCACUUUCCAUGCUCAGACCCCAACCCUGAAUCCUGCUUGGUGGUGAAUGAGCCCCGGGAAGCUCUGAGAAGGAAGGCUCUGGGGACAAGGCCAGAGGCAAUGAGGAAUGACAGCUAAGCUGGUGACCUCAGCACCUUUGUUAAUGGGUCCUAACGAGGCCAUGCCCCCAUAAACAUUGGAUAUGUCGUAUCUCUCUUUAAAGAUGCUCUAAGCAUUUAAAGUAAUCAAAUAUAUCACACUUGCAGUUUUCA